AUCAUCCAGAAAAGCACUUGACUGAGUAGAGAAGAUAAGAAAAAAAUGAAGGGAUUUGCAGUGAUUUUGUUAGUGGUUGUAGCCAUGGUUCAGCUGUUCAUGGCUAAACCAGGAGCAGCCAUUUCUUGUGGCCAAGUUGAAUCUCAAAUUUCUCCAUGUUUGACAUAUCUGAGUGAAGGAGGAACUCCAUCUCCAUCAUGCUGAAGCGGCGUUAAGACUCUGAGUCAGUCUCUUCAAACUACACAAGAUAGGCAGACCGCAUGUGGCUGUUUAAAGACGGCAGCCUCACACUACACUAACCUUAAGCCGGAUGCUGCCUCCCAGCUCCCGACUAAAUGUGGUGUUUCCAUUGGCGUCCCAAUUUCUCCUACAGUCGACUGCAGAGAGAUUCACUGAGAAGGAUAGUUCAUUUGAGGGAAUAAAUUGAGAGGAAGUUUUGGUUAUAGCCAGCUAUGCUAUUAUGUUUACUUUACUACUGGGUUGUUGCCUACCAGUGAUGUCCUCGGUUGUUGAAUACGUUUAUUGAAUAAAAUUAGCUUUAUAAUGACUCAGUAACAUAA